CAUGGUCUGCCUGGCUAUGGCCGAGUCAAGGUGGGGUUGUUUGGCUAACGGGGUCCUGGAAUCCUGCCUCUGGCUGAGGAAUAUGGUGACAAGCUGUUGGCGGGAUACAAGCAGGGCAGAUCUCUGCCUCCUUCAGCUGCUAAUUUCUAUCCGGUGACCAGAGCUAUAGAGGGGAGUGCCAAGUAAAGAGGCAAUGAAGGAAUCCAGGAAGAGAGGACAGCAGCCUUUCAAUAUUCUCAACACACCCACUACCUUUGAAGAUGCUGGCCUUCAACCCAGAGAAAAUCGGCCCAUCGGCAAAGAAAUUGGUACCUGUCCUUAUUGAGGAAAUCAAUGCAGCUGAGAUCUACCCGCCUGGAGGCUGGCGGGUCACCUGGAGGAUCCUGGGAGAGAGCCAAGGCAGAUCACUGGCUUCAGAGUGAGGGUGUGGCUGUGUAAGGCCCAAGCCAGCUGGGUUUCCUGCCCAAGAACGGACCCCCGACGGGUCAAUGGCAGACUGUCCCAUGGAGGAAGACUCAGCUUGGUCCUCAUCUCACCAGGCUUCUCCUCCCUGGGUUAGCGAACAUUCAGCAGAGGCCCAUGACCGACAUUUUCGAGGGAAGAUGGCAGCAGGACGUUGGGCUCAGUGAAGCCUGCCUAACGGCGUUCCCUGAAGUGGAGGGCCCGGGAGCAGCUCCCAUCGGAGGUCAGUUGGGAAAAGGCAUGUGUUCGGUGGGUAAUUCCUAAGAGGACCCCCUUUCCCUUCUUGUUUGGAAUCUUGUUUGUUGCUUCAGA